rnacentral:RNase_P_RNA from 1 species
CAAGAAGGGGGGAUUGCCGCUGGUACCUCGGUACUGGAGGAAAGUCCGGACACUGUAUGGCAACGUAGCGGGUAACGCCCGUCCACCGCGAGGUGAGGACCAGUGCAACAGAAAGUAUGUACAGAUAAUGCUGUAGUGAAACCAGGUAAACUCUACGUAGUGCAAGUCCAAAUAGGCCUGUGUUUGAGAACGGCCAGUUCGAGCAGGCGGGUAGGACGCAUGAGGUCUAAGGCAACGAAGAUCCCAGAUGAAUGGUAGUCUAAAACAAAAUCCGGCUUAUACCCCUUCUUGGGAU